UUCACCUGUUUAUCAAAACAUGUCUUGAUGAUUUUAAUAUUAAGUCGAUCUGCCCAAUGAUAAAAAUUUAAUGGCUGCAGUAUAUUUAACUGUACAAAGGUAGCAUAAUCAAUUGUUUUUUAAUUAAAAACUUGUAUGAAAGAAUUAAUGAGAUAUAUACUGUCUCAUAUAUAUAAUAUAAAUUUAAAUUUUUAGUAAAAAUGCUUAAAUUUUUUUAUGGGACGAUAAGACCCUAUAGAAUUUUAUAUUAAAAUUUAAUUAAUAAAUUAAUUUAAUUUUUAAUAUUUAGUUGGGAGGAUUGAUAAAUUUAAAAAACUUUAUUUUAAAAUAAAACUUUGAUUAAAGAAUUUUUUUGAUCUUGUAUUAUAAAUUAAAAGAAUAAAUUACCUUAGGGAUAACAGCGUAAUAUCUUUUAAAAGAUCAAAUUUGUAAAGAUGAUUGCGACCUCGAUGUUGAAUUAAGAUUAAUUUUAAAUGCAGAAGUUUAAUAAUUAAGUCUGUUCGACUUUUUAAAUCUUACAUGAUUUGAGUUCAAAUCGACGUAAGUCAGGUUGGUUUCUAUC
rnacentral:rRNA from 1 species